rnacentral:rRNA from 1 species
UACGAGGGGGGCGAGCGUUGUUCGGAAUUAUUGGGCGUAAAGGGUGCGUAGGCGGUUUGGUAAGUCUGAUGUGAAAUCUAUGGGCUCAACUCAUAGUCUGCAUCGGAAACUGCCGGGCUUGAGUGUGGGAGAGGUGAGUGGAAUUCCGAGUGUAGCGGUGAAAUGCGUAGAUAUUGGGAGGAACACCAGUGGCGAAGGCGGCUCACUGGACCGGAACUGACGCUGAGGCGCGAAAGCGUGGGGAGCAAACGGG